rnacentral:rRNA from 1 species
UCCUGGCUCAGGACGAACGCUGGCGGCGUGCUUAACACAUGCAAGUCGAACGAUGAAGCCGCUUCGGUGGUGGAUUAGUGGCGAACGGGUGAGUAACACGUGGGCAAUCUGCCCUUCACUCUGGGACAAGCCCUGGAAACGGGGUCUAAUACCGGAUAAUACUCUGUUCCGCAUGGAACGGGGUUGAAAGCUCCGGCGGUGAAGGAUGAGCCCGCGGCCUAUCAGCUUGUUGGUGGGGUAAUGGCCUACCAAGGCGACGACGGGUAGCCGGCCUGAGAGGGCGACCGGCCACACUGGGACUGAGACACGGCCCAGACUCCUACGGGAGGCAGCAGUGGGGAAUAUUGCACAAUGGGCGAAAGCCUGAUGCAGCGACGCCGCGUGAGGGAUGACGGCCUUCGGGUUGUAAACCUCUUCAGCAGGGAAGAAGCGCAAGUGAC